rnacentral:lncRNA from 1 species
UUGGAAACAGAUGGAGUAUUAUUUAUUACUAAUAAAUAGCCAUUUAUUAUUGUUGGGACCAAAUCGUCCCGAGCCAUUAUUGUUUUGGUUAAAAAAUUUUUUUGACAAAGCGCUUUCAAAUUUAAAAAAUUAAAUGUUUACAAGAUAAGACUCAAGUGACAUCUCUAACCUAUAAGAUAGAUAACUUAAAUGUUUAUAAGAUAGAUAAGCUUGCAUAAUAAACUUCAUGAUAAUUGACAUCUCUAACCUAUGAAGCUACUUAGUAUUAGAGUGUAUAUAGUUGCAGUUGAUUUGGUUAGUUAGAACCGGUUUAUACCGGAUAGAUUAUGAUUGUAUAUAAUCACUUGUACACCUUCAUUUUACACUUAACAGAAAUAAUAUUCACUUUCACAUCUCUUAAGCUCAUCGUCUUCAUCACGAGUGCUCUGUUUCUGUUCAACUUCAAUUCCUCUAAUACUUAGGUAGAAAUGAGUUGUUUUUGGUUAAGUUUGGUUCAUAAUCUAGUUGAUGUUGCUUGUGCCUUAUGCCAAUCGGCUUAUUCGCCAACAAUUAGAGCUGAAGAUUGUGUAUUAGCCAAACUUGACAAAG